rnacentral:tRNA from 1 species
GUCAGGAUGGCCGAGCGCUCUAAGGCGCUGCGUUCAGGUCGCAGUCUGGUUCUUCCAGGCGUGGGUUCGAAUCCCACUUCUGACA